rnacentral:lncRNA from 1 species
AUGGCAGGGCGAGUGGGGAGGCUGGAGGAGAUGGGGGCGAGGAUCUUGGCCCUGGUGGAAAGCGCCGUCGCCCUGAAAGAAGACUUGAAAGCCGAACUGGGGCAUGUGUUUGCGUACCAAGAGCAUCAAGACAGCUCUCAAGAGGUCCCUGAUGAAGGGCUACAGCAAAGUCAGCUACAACCAGUGCUGUCACCACUGUCACCGUCAAUUUCACCGCUGCCACCGCCGCUGUCACCGCUGUCACCACAGCAGCCACUGCAGGCAGCUUCUCCUUCAAAGGCAGCCUCUGGGAUGCAUCUGGGCAGCGGCAGGGAGCUCGAUGCCAUCCUGAAGAACCAAGAAGCUCUCUGCAAGGUCUUGAUGAACCAGGAUGCACUGAGGAGUCUUAUGGACAGGCUGCAGAAGACCUUGUCCACCGUUGAAGAGAGGCUUCAAGCCAUUGAGCAAGAGAUGAGCAUCAUUUCUCAGUUCACCCAAGAACUCAACCAAGUGGGGAAUGAAGCGAACUGGACCUGAACGGUCUCAUCCAAGUAGCCCAGUGACUAACCUGGUUGCCAUCCAAAGCACCUGACUUGCACCUGACUCUCCUAUUUUGAAGUUUCAGCUCUACCACAAUUCUUCCAGCACCUACAGAGAGAAUUUGUUGUACGAUACAAAAGCAAAAGAUUCUCAGUACUCAAGAUCUGAUCUUUACAGACAAAACAACAACAACACUGCUGCAGUUAGAAACGAUUUCAGUCUGGCUUGUGUGUAUCUCUCUUCCCUAGGAUGAAGAUGUGAUUUAUCUUAAAACAUGAUCUAGCUCAAUCUAGCCUUAUUAAAAAAACCCCGUUUGAUCAAAGAGCCUCAUGGUUCUCUGAAGAAGCCUCUUGAUGCCGAGUCAUCAAGCCUGGAAUGUGCCCAGCUGAUAAAACUCAAGCCUUCCACCAGAAAUAGAAAUGUAAACAGCUUCCUUUUCUAGGGGUGCCUGUUUCUCUGUUUUUGCCCAUCUUCAUCCUAAAUGCCGCAUGGAAAACCUCUUAGUGAGGGUGUGCUCGCCUUCAAAACUCAAGGGUCAAGUAAGAAAUGUGAGCCAAAUGUGAGAUUUGUAGCUAUUAGCUUCUUCUAUUCUCAGCUUGGUUUCCACUUCAACCAUGAUAGAUAAAGGCAAGGACAUGAUCUUGAGCAUUGCAGCGCAUUGAACUCUCGUGUGCAUCAAAUCCCACUAGUGGGUUUUAAUGUCAUAAUAAUCUGAGUGGGUUUUUAAUUCACAAUACUCCAGAUGGUUAGCUCACAGGUUUUGGGGUAGCACUGUUGCACUUUCCGUAAGCUUACAGUGUGAAAUAGCAAAUGUGCUCUCAUGCAAGGAGCGAUUUUCCCCCUCCAUUUUACUAAAACUAUUGUUCGAGUGCUUUGGAAGAAUCGAUGCAAUACAGAGACCUAUCACUGUGUCCGAUGCCAGCCUGCUGAUAACAGUGGCCGUAUCCCCGGUCAUUUACACUGCAAGUGCCGAUUGGACAAACGGUUGUUUAGAAAGCUUCAUGUUGGGUAUGGUUCUUUGAGUGGCCUAAAUAGGGCUGUUAAGCUGGGCCACAAAUCAGAAAAGUAAAUUUGGCUUGCAAGAAAGAGGGGGUGCUCCUCCUCAGGUCUUUCCUGCCUGUCCCCUCCUGGAAUGAAUGGGAGGCUGAUUACAGAUCUCUCCUUGCACUAAUCUAAUUAGCUUCAGUUGAUCUUGCAGAGGAACUAUUUGUUGUCAUUGUUCCUUGGGGUUUAUUAAGCAUAGCUAAACUUCAUAGUGUGUGAUUGGUACUAUAGCCAAGCCCUCCCUCUCCUAUGCCAGCCUGAAUAUUUUUGGAGCACCCACCUGUGUGGAAAAGGAUCAACAGAUUUGUCUAUACUGAUCUUGAAUGUAUUCAUUUGCUCUCAAGCCCCAUCCAGCUCUUCCUCUUCUUCUGUGGUUAUGGUUUGUACUUGUAUACCUUUUGUGCAAUACUUGGCAAAAUAUGUCAAACAAAUAAAACUUUCUUG